rnacentral:rRNA from 1 species
UACAGAGGUCUCAAACGUUGUUCGGAUUCAUUGGGCGUAAAGGGUGCGUAGGCGGCGCGGUAAGUCGGGUGUGAAAUCUCGGAGCUUAACUCCGAAACUGCAUUCGAUACUGCCGUGCUUGAGGACUGGAGAGGAGACUGGAAUUUACGGUGUAGCGGUGAAAUGCGUAGAUAUCGUAAGGAAGACCAGUGGCGAAGGCGGGUCUCGUGGACAGUUCCUGACGCUGAGGCACGAAGGCCAGGGGAGCAAACGGG